rnacentral:rRNA from 1 species
AUUGAACGCUGGCGGCAGGCCUAACACAUGCAAGUCGAGCGGAUGAAGGGAGCUUGCUCCUGGAUUCAGCGGCGGACGGGUGAGUAAUGCCUAGGAAUCUGCCUGGUAGUGGGGGAUAACGUCCGGAAACGGGCGCUAAUACCGCAUACGUCCUGAGGGAGAAAGUGGGGGAUCUUCGGACCUCACGCUAUCAGAUGAGCCUAGGUCGGAUUAGCUAGUUGGUGGGGUAAAGGCCUACCAAGGCGACGAUCCGUAACUGGUCUGAGAGGAUGAUCAGUCACACUGGAACUGAGACACGGUCCAGACUCCUACGGGAGGCAGCAGUGGGGAAUAUUGGACGAUGGGCGAAAGCCUGAUCCAGCCAUGCCGCGUGUGUGAAGAAGGUCUUCGGAUUGUAAAGCACUUUAAGUUGGGAGGAAGGGCAGUAAGUUAAUACCUUGCUGUUUUGACGUGACCAACAGAAUAAGCACCGGCUAACUUCGUG